GAAAACUACGGGCUCAACCCAUAAACUGCAGUUGAAACUGUUCAUCUUGAGUGAAGUGCAGAGGUUGGCGGAAUUCCGAGUGUAGCGGUGAAAUGCGUAGAUAUUCGGAGGAACACCGGUGGCGAAGGCGGCCAACUGGGCUUUAACUGACGCUGAGGCUCGAAAGUGUGGGGAGCAAACAGGAUUAGAUACCCUGGUAGUCCACACUGUAAACGAUGAUUGCUAGGUGUGGGGGGUCUGACCCCUUCCGUGCCGGAGCUAACGCAAUAAGCAAUCCACCUGGGGAGUACGACCGCAAGGUUGAAACUCAAAGGAAUUGACGGGGACCCGCACAAGCAGUGGAUUAUGUGGUUUAAUUCGAAGCAACGCGAAGAACCUUACCAGCACUUGACAUCCAACUAACGAAAUAGAGAUAUAUUAGGUGCCCUUCGGGGAAAGUUGAGACAGGUGGUGCAUGGUUGUCGUCAGCUCGUGUCGUGAGAUGUUGGGUUAAGUCCCGCAACGAGCGCAACCCUCGCCAUUAGUUGCUACGCAAGAGCACUCUAAUGGGACCGCUACCGACAAGGUGGAGGAAGGUGGGGACGACGUCAAAUCAUCAUGCCCCUUAUGUGCUGGGCUACACACGUAAUACAAUGGCCAUCAACAGAGAGAAGCAAUACCGCGAGGUGGAGCAAAACUUCAAAAAUGGUCUCAGUUCGGACUGCAGGCUGCAACCCGCCUGCACGAAGUUGGAAUUGCUAGUAAUCGUGGAUCAGCAUGCCACGGUGAAUACGUUCCCGGGUCUUGUACACACCGCCCGUCACACCAUGGGAGCCGGUAACACCCGAAGUCAGUAGUCUAACCGCAAGGAGGACGCUGCCGAAGGUGGGAUUGGCAACUGGGGUGAAGUCGUAACAAGGUAGCCGUAUCGGAAGGUGCGGCUG
rnacentral:rRNA from 1 species